UACGUAGGGUGCAAGCGUUGUCCGGAAUUAUUGGGCGUAAAGGGCUCGUAGGCGGUUUGUCGCGUCGGGAGUGAAAUCCACUGGCUUAACUGGUGGCUUGCUUUCGAUACGGGCAGACUGGAGGCAUGCAGGGGAGAACGGAAUUCCUGGUGUAGCGGUGGAAUGCGCAGAUAUCAGGAGGAACACCAAUAGCGAAGGCAGCUCGCUGGGACGUUACUGACACUGAGGCGCGAAAGCGUGGGGAGCGAACAGG
rnacentral:rRNA from 1 species